rnacentral:rRNA from 1 species
GGAGUUAGCCGGUGCUUCUUCUGUGAGUGAUGUCCUUCCUGCCGGCUAUUAACCCGCAGGCCUUCUUCCUCACUGAAAGUGCUUUACAACCCGAAGGCCUUCUUCACACACGCGGCAUGGCUGGAUCAGGGUUGCCCCCAUUGUCCAAUAUUCCCCACUGCUGCCUCCCGUAGGAGUCUGGGCCGUGUCUCAGUCCCAGUGUGGCUGAUCAUCCUCUCAGACCAGCUACGGAUCGUCGCCUUGGUGAGCCGUUACCUCACCAACCAGCUAAUCCGACAUAGGCUCAUCCGAUAGCGCGAGGCCCGAAGGUCCCCCGCUUUCCCCCGUAGGGCCGUAUGCGGUAUUAGCCUGGGUUUCCCCAGGGUUAUCCCCCACUACCGGGCAGAUUCCUAUGCAUUACUCACCCGUCCGCCGCUCGCCACCAGGGAGCAAGCUCCCCGUGCUGCCGCUCGACUUGCAUGUGUAGCUGCCGCCACGCGUCAUCUGAGCAGAAUACAACACUAGA